AUGCUGGAGGUAUCAGAAGUGCGAAUGCUGACGUGAGUAACGACAAAACGGGUGAAAAACCCGUUCGCCGAAAGACCAAGGGUUCCAGUCCAACGUUAAUCGGGGCUGGGUGAGUCGACCCCUAAGGCGAGGCCGAAAGGCGUAGUCGAUGGGAAAAUGGUUAAUAUUCCAUUACUUCUGUGUAAUGCGAUGAGAGGACGGAGAAGGCUAAAUCAGCCUGGCGUUGGUUGUCCAGGUGAAAGGAUGUAGGCAUGUAUCUUAGGCAAAUCCGGGGUACUCUAUGCUGAGAUCUGAUAGCAAGCUGUACUUGUACAGCGAAGUGGUUGAUGCCAUGCUUCCAGGAAAAGUCUCUAAGCUUCAGUUACACAGGAAUCGUACCCGAAACCGACACAGGUGGUCAGGUCGAGUAGACCAAGGCGCUUGAGAGAACUCUGCUGAAGGAACUAGGCAAAAUGGUACCGUAACUUCGGGAGAAGGUACGCUGUUGUUGGUGAUGGAACUCGCUUCCUGAGCUGACGACAGCCGCAGAAACCAGGCCGCUGCAACUGUUUAUUAAAAACAUAGCACUCUGCAAACACGAAAGUGGACGUAUAGGGUGUGAUGCCUGCCCGGUGCUGGAAGGUUAAUUGAUGGGGUUAGCGUAAGCGAAGCUCUUGAUCGAAGCCCCAGUAAACGGCGGCCGUAACUAUAACGGUCCUAAGGUAGCGAAAUUCCUUGUCGGGUAAGUUCCGACCUGCACGAAUGGCAUAAUGAUGGCGGCGCUGUCUCCAGCAGAGGCUCAGUGAAAUCGAAAUCGCUGUGAAGAUGCAGUGUACCCGCGGCUAGACGGAAAGACCCCGUGAACCUUUACUGCAGCUUGACACUGAACUUUGACCUUACUUGUGUAGGAUAGGUGGGAGGCUUUGAAGCUGGAACGCUAGUUCCAGUGGAGCCGUCCUUGAAAUACCACCCUGGUAAUGUUGAGGUUCUAACUCUGUCCCGUGAUCCGGGACGAGGACCGUGUCUGGUGGGUAGUUUGACUGGGGCGGUCUCCUCCUAAAGAGUAACGGAGGAGUACGAAGGGGCGCUCAGCGUGGUCGGAAAUCACGCGUAGAGUAUAAAGGCAAAAGCGCGCUUAACUGCGAGACCCACAAGUCGAGCAGGUACGAAAGUAGGUCUUAGUGAUCCGGUGGUUCUGUAUGGAAGGGCCAUCGCUCAACGGAUAAAAGGUACUCUGGGGAUAACAGGCUGAUACCGCCCAAGAGUUCAUAUCGACGGCGGUGUUUGGCACCUCGAUGUCGGCUCAUCUCAUCCUGGGGCUGAAGCAGGUCCCAAGGGUAUGGCUGUUCGCCAUUUAAAGAGGUACGCGAGCUGGGUUUAGAACGUCGUGAGACAGUUCGGUCCCUAUCUACCGUGGGCGCUGGAAAUUUGAGAGGAUCUGCUCCUAGUACGAGAGGACCAGAGUGGACGAACCUCUGGUGUACCGGUUGUGACGCCAGUCGCAUCGCCGGGUAGCUAUGUUCGGAAGGGAUAACCGCUGAAAGCAUCUAAGCGGGAAGCCUACCUCAAGAUAAGAUUUCCCUAGGACUUUAUGUCCUCUAAAGAGCCGUUCGAGACUAGGACGUUGAUAGGUUGGAUGUGGAAGCAUAGUGAUAUGUGAAGCUGACCAAUACUAAUUGCUCGUGAGGCUUGACU
rnacentral:rRNA from 1 species